ACACAUACACACACACACCCGCAGUUCCUUCCCCUUCAAUGGCUGCUCAGAGACUGAGCCUCCAUGACACGGCACCGCCAACCCCCUGGCCUACACUCCACCCACCUCCCAAACGUGUUGGUUGAUUCUUCAGCGUCACAUUACUUCAUUGGGCUAGGUAAAGGUCUAUCAGUCUUCAGGGAGGCCCUGGACCAGAAAUUCCGUACCUAUUGGCUACGAUCAAGCGCGCAGUUAAUUUUGAUAGGUCCAGGAGGGUGUACGUCCCGGAGAAAUGAUUUUGAAUCCCAGUACCCCCCCUACUUUUCUUUAUGUAGUUGGCGCGCUUUCCCUAGGCACUCGGACAGUUUCGUUGUCUGUUGGAUUUGGUUUUUAGUUUUUGGUUUUUUAUUCUGUUGUUAGUGUUAAAGAGGGAGAAAGCAUCCUUCCGUGCCCAACUUGCGAUACUGAGAAUUCACCACACGGCACGCACUGGCUCUUGGCCGUUUUAAAAGCAUAGCCUCUGCUUUGCAACCAAGGUGUACAGCAACGUGCGCAUCACAUUAAAAAGAUGCCUUCGUGGCAUUGUCCUGCUGGGGUCAGGCUCUUCACAGAGACUGACCUUCCGUGAUGCAGAGCUAGAGCCGAGAUUUUAAAGAUGGUAGGUUAACACCAUAAAAGACAACAAUUUUGAAAGCAGUUGGGUGAAAGCAGUAUGUAAGUUAGUAAUAUUUAAAUAAAACUAUCCUGGAGGAAUUGUUACUGAGUUAAUUGUUGCUGUAAUAAACACUAAGACCUUGGAGGAAAAACGACGCUGUCCUAAUGAAAAUCAGACAUUAAUUAGCAUAGAAAUGGCACCGCGAUGCCGCUCUAAUUUCCCUUUGGUUGGUUUCCAUGGAAAUCUGUAGGUAAAGUGUGCUUUUAAAAGUGUUUAUCGCUUCUCUGCCUUUUGGCUAAGAUCAAGUGUAGGAUCUGUUCUUAACAGUUUAAUAUCUGAUAUAUUUUCUAUCCGAGUCCAAUAUAUUAAAUGGAUUUGGGGAGCAGGAAGACGGAAUAGGAGCUUGCUUGUUCACUUCACGCAUCGAUCUGGUAUUGCAGUACCUCCAGGAACAGUGCACCCCCUCAGGGGAUUAAAAUUUAAUGUUCAAAACAGAAGAAGGAAAAAAAAACAGUCUGUCUAUGUGGGAUGGGAUACAAAAGAGUGGGAUAAGAAUUAUCUUUUGGCCGGGCGUGGUGGCUCCCACCUGUAAUCCCAGCACUUUGGAAGGCCAAGGCGGUUGGAUCACCUGAGGUCAGGAGUUGGAGACCAGCCUGACUAACAUGGUGAAACCUCGUCUCUACAAAAAAUACAAAAUAUUAGCCGGGUGUGGUGGCGUGCGCCUGUAAUCCCAGCUACUCCAGAGGCUGAAACAGGAGAAUUGCUUGAACCCGGGAGGCGGAGGUUGCGGUGAACCGAAAUCGUGCUAUUGCACUCCAGCCUAGACAGCAAAAGCGAAACCCUGUCUCAAAAAUAAAAAGAAUUAUCUUUUAAAAUUUUGUCUCGACGGUCUAACUUUUUUCUUAGCUCUUGCUUAAAUUAUAUCAUUCUUAUUCCCUUACACCAUUCUCAGGAUAAAUAACCAAAUAAAUUCCAAAUGAUUUGGGGAAGGAAGUGGAAAGUGGGGGAAUUAGUCCCAUGCCUCCCAGAACUGGUUGCUAUUUUUCCUGUUUCUCAGGUUAGAGAUCUUUGGCUUUCCAACACAGACUCCUCACAACUCCACCUUCCCUACUCCACCCCACUCAGAGACACACUGCUCCUCAAAGAGGAUUACAUUUAAAAUGUAAAUGCUGACCCGGCGCGGUGGCUAACGCCUGUAAUCCCAGCACUUUGGGAGGCCAAGGCGGGUGGUCACCUGAGGUCAGGAGUUCGAGACCAUCCUGGCCAACAUCGUGACACCCCAUCUCUACUAAACAUACAAAAAUUAGUGGGACGCGGUGGCGCGCGCCCGUAACCCCGGCUAGAAUCGCUUAAACCCAGGAGCGGGAGAUUGCAAUGAGCCUGAGCGACAGAGUGAGCCGAGAUGGCGCCACCGCACUCCAACCUGGGCGACAAAGUGAGACUCUGUCUCAAAAUAAAUAAAUAAAUAAAUAAAAUCCCAUAGGGCAUGUACAUAAGAUUCUCAGGCAAAGGAGAGCAAAACAUGGUUGAAGGGGAAAAGAGAAGAGGGAGGGACUGUCUACCAAAGUCCUCAAUGAAACUGAGGAGUAGGUAGAGAAGGAAAAAAAUGUAUGGAAGCCAAAGAAGAGAUGGAAGAGAUUAUUAAUGGUAGGGUUUCAAAUAAAAGAUGAUGAUUGGGAUUAAAUUGUAUCCUGGAAAUAAUCAAUGUGAAGAAAGGCCAUGAACUCAUUUUACCAUUGAAUAGUGGCUGCAGAAAGUACGCCAUAGGGCCGGGCACGGUGGCUCACGCCUGUAAUCCCAGCACUCUGGGAGGCUGAGGCGGGUGUAUCAUGAGGUCAGGAGAUC
rnacentral:lncRNA from 1 species